rnacentral:sRNA from 6 species
AUAUCUCUCUGUACGGGAAGGAUGAGAAGCUUCGACUAAGGUUCGAUUCGAGCGUCAGCGAGAAAGCGUUGCCGCAGGCAACG